AUUGAACGCUGGCGGCAUGCUUUACACAUGCAAGUCGAACGGUAACAGGCCUUCGGGCGCUGACGAGUGGCGAACGGGCGAGUAAUGCAUCGGAACGUGCCCAGUCGUGGGGGAUAACGCAGCGAAAGCUGUGCUAAUACCGCAUACGAUCUAUGGAUGAAAGCGGGGGACCGGAAGGCCUCGCGCGAUUGGAGCGGCCGAUGUCAGAUUAGGUAGUUGGUGGGGUAAAGGCUAACCAAGCCCACGAUCUGUAGCUGGUCUGAGGGGACGACCAGCCAAACUGGGACUGAGACACGGCCCAGACUCCUACGGGAGGCAGCAGUGGGGAAUUUUGGACAAUGGGCGCAAGCCUGAUCCAGCAAUGCCACGUGCAGGAAGAAGGCCUUCGGGUUGUAAACUGCUUUUGUACGGAACGAAAAGGUCUGGGUUAAUACCCUGGGCUCAUGACGGUACCGUAAGAAUAAGCACCGGCUAACUACGUGCCAGCCGCCGCGGUAAUAC
rnacentral:rRNA from 1 species